CCUUGUCACUCAUUCGUCACAGU
rnacentral:miRNA from 10 species